GUGAGAGCGCACUAAGAUCGUAGUAAGAUCGCAAAGGUCGUUGUACCAUCGUAGUGAGAGCGUAGCGAAAGCGUGAUUCUAUUCGGAGAAACUGCGCUACGAUCUCAUUGCGACGUUAUUACGACCUCACUACGACCAUCACGUUCUCACCGCGACCAAACUACGCUUCCACUACGACUAUACCACGCUGUUCACGACCAUAGUACGAUUCUAGCACGCCCUUGUCGUCCUCAUCACGCUCUUCUUACGACCUGACUACGUUCAUACUACGAC
rnacentral:lncRNA from 1 species